CCCAAAAGCCCAACAUUGGGCUUCAAGAACCCAACUGCCAAAGAUCAUCCUUUUGACAAACAAGAAGAAUCACCGACGAUAGACACCAUGAUGGCAUCGGGUGAGAAUAAUGAUCGACGUCGGAGUAAUACUUUUCAUGAAGGUGUGACUAACAAGAAAAAAGGAAAAGAAAAUGCUACAGUGUCUAGAUUGAGUCCACCUCAUUCUUCCCAUCCUAACAAGAAAAAAGGAAAAGAAAAUGCUACAUGUCUAGAUCGAGUCCACCUCGUUCUUCCACUCCAUUAGUGCAUUCUCGCUCACAGGGCCUGCCACCAUUAUCAUAUCCUUUCUAUGGUAUGCCUUCCUCGAGCUACCCACCGAUACCUCCCCGGGUCUAUCCCGGGAUGCCUCACUCGAGCUAUCCAUCUAUGCCUUCCCCAGGCUGUAGCUCGAUUCCUCCCUCGGGCUAUCCCGGGAUGCCAUCCUCUGCUCCUUUUUCCAAUAUGCCUCCUCCCGGCUAUAGCUCGAAGCAACAGCCUAUGGGCCAUACAUAUGGCAUGCACUCAGCUUAUCUCGCUGCCACGGAAUGAUCUACCCAUCAUAUGUCCGGGGGUUCGGUAACUCAACCAUCUCCAGAGUCUCCAUCAUCAGAGGCCACUCCAUCUCCACGUCUUUCUAAGUUGAAUAUUAGAGCGAGCAGUCUGAGGCAUUGCAUGCUCUUUCGACUCCGUCUUCAGUUGAUGGUCCAAAUCUUCCACCACCUGGACAUGUAGAUCUUCCACCAUCCGAACAUGCAGAUGAGAUAAAUAGAGUACACCUCAUUGAUGAAGGGACCGGGUUUUAUACUUCUAGACCAGCUGCAAAUGCAAUUUCAAUUUCCAUUAGAAGGAUUUAUAAUGGUGCCUACCCGACUUGGAGUCAUAUUCCAUAUCAUCAGCAGCAAGCGAUGCUUAAUGAGUUUAUGGUACGAAUACCUUGUUUGCAAAAAAACUAUAUAUCUAUCUAACUUUAUUUAUCAACUAACACUAUAUAUUUUGAUUGCAGAAAAGGUGCACAUGGAGCCCUGUCGAGGAUCAUGUUAUUAGAAGCAAUUUUGCAAAGAGGGCUAGUCAUCGAUUAUCAGACAAGUUCUCCGAUGCUCGGGGCCAAAAUAUAAUGCCUGAGUGGGUUCGAAAAGAUCAUUGGGAGGAGCUUCUUAAAUACUGGGCCACUGCGAAAUUUAAAAAGGAGCAAUCAGGCAAAAGCCGCUCAAAAUUUUGAGAAGGGUGGCUCGUUGCACACUUGUGGUUCUGUCCAUGAGGACUGCUAGAAGGACAUCGGUAAUUAUUUCAACUAAUGUUAAAAAAAAUCAAGACUAAGAUCUUUAAAUAAUUACCAAUUUCCUCCUAGCAAUCCCCAUGGAUACUGAACCACAAGUGUGCAACGAGUAAUCCUUCUCAGAAUUUCAAGCGGUUUUUGCCUGAUUGCUCUUGUUUUUAAAUUCCUUGGCCAGUAUUUAAGAAGCUCCUCCCAUUGAUCUUUUCGAACCCAAUUUUCGAACCCACUCAGGCAUUAUAUUUUGGCCCCGAGCAUCGGAGAACAUGUCUGAUAAUCGAUGACUAACCCUCUUUGCAAAAUUGCUUUUAAUAACAUGAUCCUCGGCAGGGCUCCAUGUGCAUAUUUUCUGCAAUCAAAAUAUAUAGCGUUAGUUGAUAAAUAAAGUUAGAUAGAGAUAUAUUUUUCUGCAAACAAGGUAUUCGUACCAUAAACUCAUUAAGCAUCGCUUGCUGCUGAUGAUAUGGAAUAUGACUCCAAGUUGGGUAGACACCAUUAUAAAUCCUUCUAAUGACAAUUGAAAUUGCAUUUGCAGCUGGUCUAGAAGGAUAAAACCUGCAAGACAAUGACAAACAUUUACAAAAUUGUUAAUUCAAUAAUUAAAAUAUAAGAUAAACAUUAAAAUAGCAUAAAAGAUUAAGCUUACCCAGUCCCUUUAACAAUGAUGCGUACUCUAUUUAUCCCAUCUGCAUGUCCAGGUGGUGGAAGAUCUACAUGUCCAGGUGGUGGAAGAUUUGGACCAUCAACUGAAUAAGGAGUCGAAGGAGUAAGCGAUACCUUAGAACUGCUCGCUCUAAUAUUCAACCUAGAAAGACAUGGAGUUGGAGUGGCCUCUGAUGGUGGAGACUUUGGAGAUGGUCUGAGUUACCGAACGCCCGAACACAUGACGGGUAGAUAGCUCCAUUGCAGCGAGAUAAGCUGAGUGCAUGCCAUGUGUAGCUGUAAACGGCUGUUUCAUCGAGCUAUAGCCUGGAGGAGGCAUAUUGAAAAAAGGCGUAGAGGAUGGCAUCUCGGGAUAGCCGAGGGAGAAAUCGAGCUACAGUCUGGGAAAGGCAUAGAUGGAUAGCUCGAGUGAGGCAUCCUAGGAUAGAUCGGGGGAGGCGUCGGUGGGUAACUCGAGGGAGGCAUACCAUAGAAAGGAUAUGAUAUUGGUGGCUGCCCUGUGAGCAAGAAUGCACUGAUGGAUUGGAAGAACGAGGUGGAUUGAUCUAGACACUGUAGCCUUUUUUUUCCCCCUUUAUUCUUGUUAGGAGUGGAAGAAUGAGGUGGACUCGAUUUAGACACUGCAGCAUUUUCUUUUCCUUUUUUCUUGUUAGUCACACCCUCACGAGAACUAUUACUUUGACGUCGAUCAUUAUUCUCACCGGAUGCCAUCUACAUAAUAAGAAUGUUAAAAAAUAAGUUAGUAAAAAAUAUUGAUUUAAAAUAUAAAAAUAAAUUAUGUUAAAUAUUGAUUUAAACAGAAGCUUAAAGAUAUAUUGCGUUAAGUAAAUAAUGACUUGAAUAAAAACACCUGUUAUCUUUGAACCUGUAUCACAAUAGACGAGAGAGGUUAGAGCCAUAACCACAAAAAGAGAUGAACAAAUAAUAAUUAACUAAACAAAUAACAUGUCAUUAACAACACGCUAAAGAAACACAUGAAAUAGAAGCUAAGAAAAGAAAUAGACACAAUAAAAUUCGCGACCAUUUUUAUCAUAAAAUAGUGGAGAGAAUCCCAUACAAGAAAUAGAAAGGUAGACAAAAAGAAAACUAGCUAAUCCAAAGAGAGAAAGAACCAACAAAAACUCUCUUUUUAAUCCUCCUCGCUUAUUUCAUCUUCAAGAAGGGGAGCCCAUGUGACCAGGAGGUCACUAGUUUGAGCCGUGGAAACAGUCUUUUGCAGAAAUGCAGGGUAAGGCUACAUACGAUAGACCCUUGUGAUGCG